UCAGGCCCAGAGAGGAGGCUAAAACCCAGGAGUCGGCAACAGAGUAAAGAAGGAACAUUGGCACUAGUUAGAAGCGUGGAAAAUUAAAUACCGGUUUAAAGGCAGUUGGUACAUUGGGCCUCUUAGGAAGUAAAGAAGAUACAUCUCACAACCUUUGUUUGAGAUGAAUGAAUUCUCAAGCUGCUCAAUUUCAAUGAGCUGAAAGAUACAUUAUUUGUGGAAUAUGUUUAAGAAUUCCUAAGGGUGCAAGAUCAACAAGAACUGGCAUAAUUUAUUAUAUUCCAGCUGACAGAGUGAAGAAUAAAGACAAUUCUGUGUAAGGGUCACAUGAAAAAGGAAGUCAAGUGUAAAAGAAAUCGGAUCUUAUUUUUUCCUGAUCUCUAGCCAAACAUUCAGUUAAGAGGUGAACUUUUCUUCCAGCAAAGAAAUGUUGCUUGCCAGGAAUGUGGAGCGAGGACAUUAAAGUUCACAGAGAUUACGUGCUUUAACCAACCUGGGGCCAUAUCAUGAGAUGUAAAACCCGCUGGCAGCUAUUUAAAGAAAGGAAGAAUGGGAAAGAAAUCUCUUGGCCUGAAAUUCUGCAAUAUGUAAAGUACAUCUUCUCUGUGAAAACCUUACUGACGCCGUGAAGCAGUAUUAUAUUCAGGCUCUUAAGAGGGCAACUACCAGAAAACAGGUGAGAAAAAAAGACAGCUUGCUUUGCUGUUAGCAUGACGGUCUAUCUGAAAGUGGGAGUGUGUUUUCUCUCUGGCAGGGAGCAGAGGUUUAUAUGUUACACACACAUAAGGGGGCACUAGACUAGUUAAUUGUUCUCAGUACUCACAAAAAGUCCGCUGAGAGUAAGAAAGCCCAGGAAAAGUACAUCGGUGGUCUUGAAUUUUUCAAAACCACAGCAAUUUAGGCCCUAGGCUUGCAAUUCUUUGUUACAUAAGAGUUGUAGAAAUUUGUUAACCCUU
rnacentral:lncRNA from 1 species